UGAGUAACGCGUGGGAACGUGCCCUUCUCUACGGAAUAGUCCCGGGAAACUGGGUUUAAUACCGUAUACGCCCUUCGGGGGAAAGAUUUAUCGGAGAAGGAUCGGCCCGCGUUGGAUUAGGUAGUUGGUGGGGUAAUGGCCUACCAAGCCGACGAUCCAUAGCUGGUUUGAGAGGAUGAUCAGCCACACUGGGACUGAGACACGGCCCAGACUCCUACGGGAGGCAGCAGUGGGGAAUCUUAGACAAUGGGGGAAACCCUGAUCUAGCCAUGCCGCGUGAGUGAUGAAGGCCCUAGGGUCGUAUAGCUCUUUCGCCAGGGAUGAUAAUGACAGUACCUGGUAAAGAAACCCCGGCUAACUCCGUGCCAGCAGCCGCGGUAAUACGGAGGGGGUUAGCGUUGUUCGGAAUUACUGGGCGUAAAGCGCGCGUAGGCGGAUUAGAAAGUUGGGGGUGAAAUCCCGGGGCUCAACCCCGGAACUGCCUCCAAAACUACUAGUCUAGAGUUCGAGAGAGGUGAGUGGAAUUCCGAGUGUAGAGGUGAAAUU
rnacentral:rRNA from 1 species